GAGGCUCAUCAUCAUCAUCGCGCCUCUCAUAAGCCGGCUUCUCGUAGCCCUCCUCUUCUUGCCCCUCAUUACUUGGCCUCCCAUAACUAGGCCUCCUCGGUGGCUCCUCCACCUCCGGACUCUCGUAGCUCGGCCUCCCAUACUGUGGCUUCCUGGGGGACCCUUCCCCACCAUAACCAUACCCGCCACCUUGUUCCUCUCCGAAGCUAGGUUUCCGACCGUACCCAGAUCCAUAUUCAGAACUCGGUGCUUCGUACUCAGGCCUCCGACCAUACCCAGAUCCAUACUCCGAACUGGGCUGCUCGAACUCGGGCCUCCGACCAUACCCAGAUCCAUACUCCGAACUAGGUUGCUCGUAUUCAGGCUUCCGACCGUACCCAGAUCCAUAUUCCGUGCUAGGCUGUUCGUAUUCAGGCUUCCGACCGUACCCAGAUCCAUAUUCCGAGCUAGGCUGUUCGUAUUCAGGCUUCCGACCGUACCCAGAUCCAUAUUCCGAGCUAGGCUGUUCGUAUUCAGGCUUCCGACCGUAGCCAGAUCCAUAUUCCGAGCUAGGCUGUUCGCAUUCAGGCUUCCGACCGUACCCGGAUCCGUACUCCGAACUGGGUUCCUCGUAAUCAGGCUUCCGCCCAUGCCCAGAUCCAUACUCACCCUCCCCACCAAAACUCGACGGCGGCUUCGGCUGAUACCCAUACUCACCACCAUCACCACUGCCUCCGAACCCUCCUUGGCCAGGAGGUGGUCCGGCGUAACCAAGGACCGGACGAGGCUUGGGACGAGCAUAGCUCUUGUAUUCAUUCUCAAGAGCUUCAUCACCGUAAGCCGAUGGUUCAGAGCAUGAUGUGUAGCUUGGGCGAUCGUAGUCUAUAUCACCGGACUUCGAGGAGAUCGGAUAGCAAGUCUCCUCCGACGGCUCCAAAGGGCGGCCAUAGAUGACCGUGAUGUCGUAGCCUCCACCAUACGGGGUCGGAUCGUACUCAUCGAACUCGUCGCUAACAUCUUCGUUACGAUUGUACGUCAUUGCUUCGUCUCCCUCCCUGAUCUGAUCUCAGAUUGAGAAUGAAGAAGAUAUCUAAAUCUCAGGUAUUUAUAGACGUCGUUUUUGCACAUUUUCUCGUUUACAUUUUGUUUUGCAUCGUGUACGAAAAUGCCCUUGGGUGAUGAGGCCCAGUAAGUGUGACUCUGUCAGCUAUGAGUAAUCAAUGAAAUAUUGGUUUGUAAUUCGAUUUUAUGGAUAUAUUAAAAAUAUUGGAGAAAUAUCGAUGAAUAUUUUUUCAGAAAUAUCGGUGGAUAUUUUUUCACAAAUAUCGAUAGAGUGAAAAUUAUUUAAAAUUAAUAAAAACGCUUAAAAAACUUCAAAUCCCUAGUUAACAGUAAUAAAGAAGAUGAUUUGAUGGAUGGGGCUUCAGGCCCAAACCAAUCCUCUAGGGUCACUGUCAAGUGGGCCACCAGCCAUGUAUUGGGCCGCUUGAACGGCCUCUCUAGUCAAUGACACUAGGGAGGGAGUGACGCGUGUUAUACGAGUGCCGAAUGUCGGCAAAUUAAAUAAUUAGGGCAACAAUAUUUGAGAUAAGAGCAAUAUGUGCAAUAUAUGGUGAUUAUCCACAUCAAAUCAAAAAGAAUUUCUAAAUUUACAAAAUUAUAAUCUUUUAGAAUUUAGUUAAUUUACAAAAUUGAUAAUGUGAGGGCAACAAUACAACCAUCGAACCUAACCCAAUUUUAUGAUUUUGUAAAUCAAAUCAAACCUAAUGAAUGUAUUCACUAAUUGAGUCCAAUCUACUCAACUUAGAUUAUAGAAUUAUUUAUAAGAUUCAAAAUCACGACAGCACAUGAUAAACGGGUGGGGUUGCUCACCCCGAAUCUUUCGCCUUCUGCAAACUCCGCCGCUUCGACAAAGAAUAAUGAGAAGAAUCAGAAUUCAGAAUCGUUUCCGAAUUUACAUCCCACCUCCGUUUCGCAUAGCUCCCAUAAACCCAAGAGAGAGAAAAACCCUAUACGCAGAAAAGGGGGAUGGCGGCCAGAGUGAUCCGCGUGGCGCAGGACGGCACUGGAGAUUACCGGACUGUGCAGGAAGCCAUAGACGUUGUGCCUCUCUGCAACAAAUGCCGGAUUGUGAUUCGCGUGUCGCCGGGUGUGUACAAGCAGCCAGUCUACGUUCCCAAGACGAAGAACCUCAUUACACUUGCUGGGUUGCGCCCUGAGGACACUGUACUCACCUGGAACAACACCGCCACCAAAAUCGAUCAUCACCAGGUACACACCCAUUUCGUCGUCUACCGGCUGGGUUGUAAAUUUGGGUGGCGGUUUGAAUUUGGGGCUUUUUUUAUUUUUCAGGCGGCUCGGGUGAUUGGGACUGGAACUUUUGGGUGUGGGACUGCUAUCGUUGAAGGGGAGGAUUUUAUUGCCGAGAAUAUCACUUUUGAGAACUCUUCUCCUGAGGUGAAGUUUCUGAAACUCCCAGUUUUAUUUUCAAUCUUAGCUUGCUCCAAUUGGCGAAAUGUGUACUCAUUGGUUAGUAAUGAAAUAUGGGUUUUUUUGUUUUUUGUUUUUGUUUUCUUUCCAGAUUGUAAUUUAGGUUUUGGGUGUUUUUUUGUUUGUUUAUGAGAAUUGGAGUUUAGUUUUUUGGGGCAUUGGAUAUAUUGAAGUUCUGAGGGUCUGGAUCUACUCCAAAGUGCUGUUUCUUUUUGUUCUUUUAUGGGUAUUGUAAUUUGGACUUUUGGGAUGUGGAUAUGUUGGAGUUUUAGGAUGGUGCUUCUUCUAUGAAUUUCUUCAAGUUGUUAUAAGACAAUUUUUUCUUCCUUUUGUCAUAGGGUUCAGGACAAGCUGUGGCAAUUAGAGUAACGGCUGAUCGUUGUGCCUUCUACAAUUGCAGGUUUCUUGGGUGGCAGGUAUAGUCAUAAUGGGGAUCAAUAGCUUUCCUGAAAACUUCGCUAAAAUGUUACAUUGCUAUGAAAUUCGUAACUCUGAAAUGAUUCAUGUUAUGCUAUACAAUUAAGCAAUUAAGAUAUUAACCUAUGGUAUAAGGAGUACAAAUUUUUCCUAGAAAUGCCCUCAAAUCCUGCAUUUUUUUUUUUUUUUUUUUUUUUUUUUUGAGGAACAUGUGGAGAUGACUUGUUUUCCUUUUGAAGCCAUAAUGUCUCCCUGGCAAAGAUAUAUCUUACGUUCAUAAAUAAUAAAGGAUGAGCAUUUAUUUUUCAACUAAUCAGCAUGUUAAGAUUGGUUAAAUUUUUUUUUCUAUAUCAGAAACAACAAAUGUAUUAAGAUCGAUUAAAAUCGGGCAUACAUGAUUUUUCAUUUUAUGAUACUAAAUAUGAUAGUAUAUGCAUGCAAGAUGUAUUGAAGCUACAAAAUGAAUCCUUUUCUUUGCAAACUUAUAUGGAUGAAGAAAAUCUAGCAUCUGGAGGUAUUCCUUUGUGCAAGUUUUAGAUUGUUUUUUUGCUUUUCCUUGGCUCAGUCAAUUAAUUUUUCACAUGGAAUUAAUUAACCACAUUGAUUGGUGAACCCUAAGCUUAUAUAUAUAUAUGGUUUGAUCAGUUGGUUGCUGAUGUCUCCUUCAUUCUCAGGACAAUUCAGAACAAACUAUCUUGGACAUGAUGUUGCAUAUCUAGCUUCAUGAGUCUAUCCUUAAAUGUUUAUGCAGGAUACUUUGUAUUUGCAUUACGGAAAACAAUAUCUGAAAGAUUGCUAUAUUGAAGGAAGUGUGGAUUUCAUCUUUGGGAAUAGCACUGCUCUGUUGGAGCAUUGUCAUAUUCACUGCAAGUCAGCGGGAUUCAUAACAGCACAAAGUAGGAAAUCUUCUCAGGAAUCAACUGGCUAUGUAUUCCUCAGGUGUGUAAUAACCAGUUUCCAAUUUCAAAUUCUAAAGUAUGGCCUAUUAAAGAACUUCAAAUUCUAAAGUAUGGUUGUAAAAAUAAGGGCUUGAUACUGUUUGUUACUUGCAAGAGCAUUUUAAUCUGAAAUUUUUUUCUUUUGGAAAAUUUUAACAAUUUAGUGUCAUACAAGAUAUAUUCCAUUUAAUAUUCAUAAUCUUGAUUGACAAUCUCAUCAACUAGCACAAUUUUGGGAAAAACAUGUGCUUUUUUAAGACAUAGAAGUUUGGUAUAUGCUUUUACCACAUGUGUUAUGUUUAAAAACUCAUUGCUUACAUAGCUAGUCUCAAGCCAGGACAAAGGGAGUCCUAUCUCAUUAGAUUGAAAACCACAAUAAGCUUGUAACACCUUUAGUUAAAUGACUGUAAACAUUUGGUAAGAAAUCUAUGAUCGUAUGCUGAUGUGAAGCAAAAUACAAGUAGAGAGAGUAGAAUUGGGAAAUAAGAUUUGUGCGCUUAUUUCCCAACCCCCAUCUUGCAAUUCUGUUUCUAAGUGAAAUGGAAUGGAUAAUUAUACAUCACUCUCAAAAGGUUGUCUAAUUAGGAAUAUGUCUGACUCAAAGAAGAAUCUAUGUCUAGGUUCUGUACUUCUUGCCUUUGUUUCUCCUUAGUUAUAAUUGCCUAACCAACCAGUCCUUGUAUAUUUUCUUCUUUUUGAAAUUUGUGGUGUUGAUGCAGAUGUGUGAUCACUGGCAAUGGUGGGGCUUCGUAUACACAUCUUGGACGACCGUGGGGACCCUUUGGAAGGGUGGUCUUUUUAUACACAUGGAUGGAUGCUUGCAUCAAACAUGUAGGUUGGCAUAACUGGGGCAAAGCCGAGAAUGAGAGAAGUGCUUGCUUUUACGAGUACAGGUACUUCAUAUUCAAUCCUUUCUCUGUAUAGCUUUGAAACUUUAGGGGCUGUUUCAGAUACCAGAAACCCAGUAAGCUGAAGAUCUGAUGAUUGGUUUUGAUUUACUCUGUUUGAUAAGAAUGUUUGGUUUGGGCUGUAUUCCAUUCAUCUAUAUUCAAUAUCCAAUGUCUGUUGUUUUCAACUUGAACUUUGUCACUUCUCACUUCAUCUAUUCAAGAAAUUCUGGCCUGCUCUUAGUGCAGCCACUGUGACAGACUGUAAUAGUAUCGUUGAAUACUCUCUAACCUAAGAAAAUACUUGGAUAGUACCAUUAGUACUAUUGAAAUUCUCAUUUAAUUGUAAGGUUCAACUCUGUUGGAUUUGAGUUUUCAACAUUUUUUUUACAUGAAUUUUUCCUUUUUUCUUUAUUUUUUUAGAAAGCGUUUUACAUUUGAGUUUGAAAACCUUUCUCAUCUACUUGCUUGUUAAAUGGAAGGGGAAAGAAACUGAAUAGCAUGUAUACUUAGAUUACUGCCUUGUUGAAAGUGAGCUUUGUGAACUCCCCUUCCUCCCAUGAGACUCUACUAAUACCACAUCUUUUGUUGCUUUAAUCAACACUGCAGGUGUUUUGGACCAGGCAGUUGCCCAUCAAAACGUGUAACAUGGGCUAGAGAACUGGUAGAUGAAGAAGCAGAACAGUUCCUCAUGCAUUCUUUUAUUGACCCGGAUGUGGAGAGGCCUUGGCUGGCCCAGAGAAUGGCUCUGAGGAUACCAUAUUCCGCAUAGAAAUUAUAUUGCUGGAAAUAUGCAGUAGGUUCCCAUCUGAAAAUUGGAAAAAAAAAUGAAAAAGAAAGAAAAAGAAAAAAAAAAGGUUUUCAGAUCUUAUAUGUACGAUGGGUUCAGCCUUUAUUUGACUUCCCUGCAGAUGAUUUGUGAUUGUAUUAUUUAUGCUAUAGAGUUGUAUCCUCAACUAGGUUCUGAGGAAAUCAAAUGGUUGUUUCUGGGCACACAAUUAAACUGUUUAGCUCAGUAGUAUUGAGACCCUUGUAUAAUGGUCAAUGUGCCAAUAAGAAUUUUAUGAUAUUGAACAAAUGAGCUGGAUAUGGAAUGCGAAAAAUUACCAAUAGCUAGUUUUGAGAAAUGCUUUGUUAUAAAAUUGUAACAGUACAGGAAUGAGGUAAAUGGCAGUUUAGAGAUUAAUCAGGUGGAGUCCACCAAACCAAAAUCAGGACUCUCACAGAUUGGCUUUCACAUGGAAUUCAGAGGACUGGAUAGAAGCUCCUUGCAUCUCACGCCGCCCUGAUUUUUCCAGUGAAUUAUCACCACAUGCGUCUUGACUCUUGAGCAGUAUCAUUUACCAAAUUUUAUUUGCCAACUCACCAGUUUGGAGUGGACAAGCCCAGAAAAGCAAACAGAAAUAUUAGGGUUCUGUCCAUAAAAUUUGAUAUAUUUUUUGGCAUGUGAUGACUGAUGGGUGGACCACUCACCCAUCAACCAGAACCACCAAAUAUCUUUCCUUUCCUAAAGCAGCUACAGGUGGUCACACCACCCGACAUAAUGCCAGCACUUCCAAGGCUCCAACCACUGUUUGCCACAUGCACAGGAUAAAAGCCAUGUCACAUAUGCUUAUCUUUCAUAUACCCAUUUUCACAAUGUGCAUUCUAUGAUAUAGCACUUUUUGCAGCUAACCCCAAAACCCAGAAAGAAGAGAAACAAAACCAGAAAGGAAAAGGUAUUGAAGGUUCAUACAUGAGUGAGGUUGCAGCUGGUAGUGCCUUCAUUCCUCGCCACCACCACCACUUUCCCCUGGGCAUAGGAAAAUGGAAGGAUCAGCUUGUCAAGCCCAACAGGCAGUGGCAUGUGGUGACUCAACCAAAGUGGCAGCCAGUGAUCAAGAACCAGAUGGUUAAGCCUUCUACCUACACUUCCAGAAUCUCCACUGAUCUCCCUCUCUAUGAGUCUCCUGGGGUAAGUGACCAUCUCUCUCUCUCAAGUCAAUUGGGUGUUUCCUUUUUCUUUUUUCUUUUUUUUUUUCCUCUAUUUCCUUUGACACCAAGCUACUGAUGUAAGGAAUUUUGAACUCCGGCACAUACAUUUUCCAUUAUUGGUAAAUUGGGAUGAAAUUGAAUUUUUUUUCUUUUUUCAGGCUUUGUUUGAUGAAUAUCUGGAGGACCAGCCCAGAGUGUUCAAAGCAAUAUUUCCAGACAAAAGAAGAAGCCAACGAAUUAAUGAGGUUUGCACAUUGGUUUAUUAAUUUCCCCUCUUCUUAAUUGUUGUGCCAGCAAAUGAAAUUAGAGAGUAAAAAUGAAUCGUUAGUUCAUUUUUAUGAUUAACUUCUUUGAUAUUAAGGCAGAUCAUGUAAGUCCCUCAGAUUUUAGCUUUUACUUAGAAGAGGAUGGGCACUAGAACAAUAUUUUGUCUUCAUUUCAAAGCAAAAAGCUGAUUAAUCUCUCCUUUUCCUUAACAUUUCUGUUAUACUACAUUAUCAAGGAUGGGGAAGGAGCUUGUAAAGAAUUUUUCAAAGUUUAGUGGGAGUCUUGUUUAUUAGAUAGCUAUUCUGGUGGUGAUUAAAGCCUUAAAAGAUAUGAGGGAACUCACCAAGCCUACUGUCUUUAAAUAUAUUUGGGUAUUUUAUAAAACCAUAUGAACUUAUAUGGGUUUCGGAUUAUUUCUUAAUAAUUAAGUCAUGGUCAUACCAUAACUGAAGACUAUUCCAACAUCUCCAUCUUAGCUCUUCUCUUGGGCUGGUGAUUUAUAGACUCAGCUGUGCCCUGUAACCCCUUUGUAUCUACUCAAUUACGUUUUAUCAAAUUCCUUGUACUUGUAGCUCAAACACAAAACACCACAGAAGGGAAUUCAUCUUAUUUCCUGUGCCAUUAUUUUCAUUAUUUCAUCACUCAUAAGUUAAGACAUUUUCUUGAACAGUUAGUUGUUUUAAGUCUCUUGUAUCCCUCCUAACAAGGGCACUCGAUUUGUUUGUGCAAAGAUUUCAGACAGUUCGAGUUUUGGUUAGACAGGUAUUAAUUGCCAGUCAUUCCUAUUAGAAUGUGAAAAUGAUGUUCUAUCAGUUACUUCUAAAACCCCUUUGUUUUACGAUUCCAGGCCUUUUAAGAAGUUUUUGUCAAAGAAGAACAUCCAGCCUAAGAUCUAAGGAAGUGUAUUUAACCCUUCUUUGUAGUGCUACUAGGAAUAGAAUCCAUAAAUGCAAAAGAAACAAAGGAAGAGAUCAAAACAAACUGCUUAAUAGAUCUGUAAACCUGGCUCCUUUAUUUCCUAGAGUGAAAAUCUUGCAGCUACUGAUGUUGGUGAAAUAAGAUGAAAAUUUUUGGUGGUUUGGCAGCUACUGAUGUUUGGAUUAACUCAUUUAUGCAGGAAGAAUGGAGGAUUCAAAUGUUGCCCAUACAGUUCCUUUUCCUUACUGUGUGGCCGGUAAUAGACAUGAGAUUGAGAUGCAAAUCAAGAGGGAAAGAUUACCCACCUGACGUUCCUCACAACAUCACAAAGGUUCUUGAGCUCAACAUUGUGAGUCUACACAAGAAAUUACCCAGAUAUUAAGUAGUACUCUCAUGAGUUCAUAUGUAACCAGUAUCAAACCUGUUAUUUUGCAGAUUAGAUGGGAGCUCCAAGGGCUUGAUGAUCUUCUCAAACCAUCUCAUUUUAGCCUAGGUGUAAAAGGAGCCUUGUAUCCAGAGAGACAGGCAAUGCAGAGCCGGCUUAAAGGUCAGCUAGAGAUGAGCAUAAGCUUUGUCCUUCCUCCUGUGCUUGCUCUGGUCCCUGAAGAUGGUCUCCGAAGUGUUGCAGAGUCGGUUAGACCUCUAAAGCCACUGCACAAUCAUUAUUUUCCUUGAUUCUAUAGAAAUGUGCUACAAGAUUCAGGAAGGAAAAGAACAUAUGAACUAAAAUGUUGGUCCUAACUACCCUGUCAACAAAUAAUUCUUAACAGGUGCUAAAAAGAUUGCUGGAGAACAUGAAGCAUAAAGUUAAUGGAAGCCUGCUUGCAGACUAUAACGAGUUCAGGAAGCAGAAACUGAAGAAUCUAGUUUGAGCUUAUUGCUUGAUCUCCCUAUAAAUUCAUAUCAGGCAAUAAAUUUGGAAAGCUGGAGUUCUUGCAUUUUCCAUCAACCCAGAUGAAGCUGACCAAAACUACAGAAGCAGGACAAAUUGCAGACAUGAUACAAAGGAUCCUGAAGAAUCUGCCACCUUGUAGAGAGAUUUCCUUUCUUUUAGCACUCGUUGAGUUGAACAUAUUCUUUUGAAGGUAGUUAUUCUUGAGAAAAGUGUGGUAUCAGAGAGCAUUUCUGGGGUAUCCCACUUCCAUAUGUAGAAUUUGAAUACCUGAAAUCAAUGGGAAGAAUAUCUUAAUUUCAAGUUUGAGUAUUUUAGAACAGACCAAGCAAAAUGACAAUGUUGUUCAGGCUCUGCUUUGAUCAGGGUAAGCACAAUGCAAGGGAAAAAAAUCAAUUAAUUGUUUUCCUCUCAAAAGGGAAAAAGAAUGGAGAUGCGGGGGAUCGAACCCCGUGCCUCUCGCAUGCAAAGCGAGCGCUCUACCAUUUGAGCUACAUCCCCAUUGCUGACGAUAUCCCAAUGCUAAUUAUUCAUUACCUUUUAACCUCACACGAUCAUUCAAUCAAUUUGCAUAUGCACAUGGAAAAAGAAACACAAAAUAGCCGGAGGAGGAUGCCAUUUACAUGGGCAGAUGAGCUAUGCAUGUCAAGCCAAACUUUGUUCUCCACUAGUAGAAAAUCAAAUGGUACAAGAUUGAAAGAUCUUGUCUUAAUGUGGUCCUAUUGCGAUCUCUUCAAAGUUAUAAACUUCAUAAAAUUUAUAAUUAUUUUAAUGGAUAUAUCAAUAAUGAAUAACUAUUGAUCAAUAUAUUCACAAAAAUAAUCAAUUGCAUAUGUGACACAAGAUUUGAUGUGGAAAAACCACAUAACAAUCUCUAGGUAUAAAAAACCACGGAUGAUCCACUAAAUUUGAAAAAAAAAAAUAUACAUUAUUUUACUUAUUUAGAUACGCUACUCUUUGAGGUCUUAUACUAUCAACAUUUAUACUCUUCUUUAACAUCCCGAUACAACACUCUCUCAUGCCCCUUAGUGGACCAACUCAAAGACCUUGUUAAGGCUUUAGCAACUCAAAUCCUUAACCUUUGGAUUGUCAAAAAAUUUCUUUCAAGAAUGGUCUUGAAAGAUUUAAAGAUGGAGUUCUUAGGGCUGUAGGGACGACUAAUUUCUUGUGAAUCAUAUUCAAUAUAAUAAAACUCAGUAUUAUACUAAAAACGUAGGGCAUGGAUUUGGAAAACAAUUGUAAUGUUAAUUAUACAAAAACGUCCCUGAAAACAUGAGCAACAAAAUAAAAAAAAUGAUUCAAGCGCUCAAAGGGGACAUUCAAAUGUUUUGUGUUUCAAACUUUGUUUUUUAUGUUUUUCUCCAACAUGAACAUAAGUAUUCUUUUAUAAUCAUUUCCCAACCUCUAAUCGGUAAGACCCUUCAGUACAAAAUGGAAAAUAAAUUACUAACCUAAAACAUACAUUAACAAAGGUAAAAGACAGUGCAUUUAAGGUUAUAACUUCCUUCAGUGCCUAUUGGCAGUAUACAGUUAUGGUCACCAAUAACCAAACUAUGAACAAGAGGGUAUAUAAAACCACCCUUUAGGAUGCAGAUCAUUAAAGGAAAUGGUACAGACAAAGGCCAUGGAACAUGAAUGAAAUAAGCUGACAAAUAAGAUGCACAGUUUUUGGAAAUGAUGUGUAAACCAUCAGUUACAUACCCAAAUGAAAAACAAAGAAGAAACAUAAAUUAAGGAGUGCAAGAACCUAAUUUCCAUGGGACAUCAAAAUCCAGCUCAAUUUCCUGAACCAUAAAUUACAACUUUUCAAGAAAAAAGAAAUCAAAUGAAUUUAGUAAUUAUGCAGUGCAAAUUAUCAGCAUGAUGCAGUUGGGAUCACCAAUAAUCACAACAAGAACAUGAACCUUCCUUGAAACAAUGAAAACGAUUGCGAUCUCUGAUGACAAUUUCUCGGUUGUAUAUCUUAGAAACAAUCUUGAUAGCAGAAUGACAAUCUUGGCAUAUUCGUAGAUUCUUGAAAAUAUGAAGGGGCACACCAGGCCCUGUGCUUAUAAGCCCAAAACAAAUUGCCAGCUUCUCACUGUGAGAGAACAAUGCCUGCUCUUUCUCCUCCUGCUCAACUAAAUCAUCCUCCAAGCUAUCACAACCAGCAAAAGUUUGUAAGGCGGUGUUAGGUGCAUAACCAGCCAACCUUAACCUUGGAAUCAUCUCAUCCAACAUAUUGUAAACCUCUCGUGUUCGUGGGUGUGAUUUAUCCCCCGCACUGAACUGAUGAACUUGGCCACCAACAUGGAUGGAACUCAUGCCAGGCACCUUUUUAAUACCCCUCUUCUUAAGAACCUGGCGAAGAGAAUUAGCCCUGUUCUGCUUUCCAGCCAAAGCAUACAUAUUGGAAAGUAGAAUAUGAUACUCAGUGUUUUGGGGAUCCAACUGAACCAGCUCUUGCAAAAGGUGUUCCCCCAACUGGAGCUUCCCAUGGAUGCUGCAGGAACCCAAAAGUGAUCCCAGAACAACCUCAUUGGGACGAAUUGGCAUCUCCCUCACUAAAAUCUCUGCUUCUUCUAAACGACCAGCCCGACCUAAAAGAUCAACCAUACAAGCAUAGUGUUCUACCUUAGGGGUGAUGCCAUACACAGAUUCAAGGUUACCAAAGUAAAAGCAACCUUGAUCAACCAAACCUGAAUGACUACAUGCACUUAACACAGACGUAAAGGUGACAUCAUCUGGCUUAGCUUCUUUAAACAUCUGAGGAAAUAUAUCCAGUGCAGCUCUACCUAAUCCAUGCAUUGCCAGACCACUAAGCAUAGCAUUCCAAGACACCACAUUCCUUUGAGGCAUUUUCUUAAAAAAUUUAAAUGCAAUAUGUAUUCUACCACAUUUGGCAUACAUAUCAACCAUUGCUGUGCCCACCAUGAUAUUCAGCUCCUUCUCCUUUGUCUUCAAAGCAUAGGCAUGUACCCACCUGCCCAUCAUCAAAUCCCCUGACUGAGAACAAGCGGUUAGAAUUGAACAUAAGGUAACAUAAUUCAACUCCAUUUCCAAAUCAAAUAUCAUUUCUCGGACAAGGGCAAAACUUUCCUGGGUCAAUCCACUAUCCAAAUACCCUGCAAUCAUUAUCGUCCAAGCAACCUCAUUCCUCUCAGGCAUCUCGUCAAACACCACUCUCCCAUUCCUUACACCCUCUGAUCUAAUUACACCAUCAAGAAUCACAGUCCAUGACACAACACUCUGUCCCUUCAUUUCAUAAAAAACCCGUCUAGCCUCACCCAUUAGCCCAGACUUCGCAUACAUAUCCAUAACUGCAUUACACGCUUUCUCAACACCACCCAAACCCAUUUUCACCAUACACCCAUGUCCCUGCGCACCAACCACCACAUCUCCCAACCGAGCACAACCCCCAAAUAGGCAAACCAACGUCACCUCAUCAGGCUUCACUCCACAUCUUCGCAUUUCAACGAAAAUAAGAAGAGCCUCAUCAGACACAUUGUGGCGUACAAAGCAGCCCAUAAGGGUGGUCCAGUCCACAGUGUCUUUGUGCGAGUGGGGAAUUUCAUCGAACACCUUGCGUGCCUGCCAUGCGCAGCCGCAGGAAGCGUAGAAUUGGAGAAGGGCAUUGUGGAGGAAGGUCUCCGGUGCUCCGGCGAUGCCGGUGGUGAUGAUGGUGGCGUGGAGCCUUUCGCCGAUGUCGAGAGAGGACUCUCUAGCGCAUGAGCGUAGAAGGAACCGAUAGUGGCGAGAGACUGAAGACAAGGCCGUGUGGCGAGACCAUAUCAUAUAUUGUAUAUCCGUAGAGGGAAAAUUUGAAUCAGCCUUGAAUAUAAACCUGCGAGAUAAACAAAACGACGUCGGUUAAGGUCUUUUGGUAAAACUUGUCUAUACCAACUUAUUUAAAUUUUUUAAUUAUAUUCAAAUAAAUAUAAUUUAAAAAUAAAUAAAUUAAGUUUACAACAAUUUUAUUUUGUCUUUUUUUUUUAAAAUGCCUUCACUUCCAUUACUAAGCUUAAAAAGGGAAAAAAAAUUAUAUUAAUCUUAAUUUUACUUUUAUUUUAUAUAGAUCAAUGUGGGACAAAACGAUGUAAAACUUAAAUUCACCUUAAACUGAACCUAGGUCUUAAAUUGAAAUUUCAAACCCCCUAUCGUCUCAAUGAAACUUUCACCUCACUUAUUUUAUUAGGGAUGAGGGGAGGGAAGUCUUAAAAAUAUUUUUUUUUACUACCAUCUAUAAUAUUAAUAGAAUCAGUCAUUUAUGAUUGAAGUUGAAACAUCGUAAAGAGUUUUUCUCAAAUGUUUCCACACUACAUGUUGUGAUAAAUGCAUUAUUAAACUAUAAAUCGUAAUAAAUACAUAAUUAAAUUAUAAAUAGUUCAUGAAUAAUUUCUUAAUAAUCCAAACAAAAAAAUAAUAAAUCAUAUGUACAAGAGAUUUUAAAUAAACGAUAACAUAGGAUGAUCAACUCAUCUUAAAAGAGUUGCAAGUAUCCAAAGAAUAUCUUGUCAAAGCAAUGCUCAAAGAAGGCCUUGAUUUAGCCUAACAUAAGGUAAUGGAUAGAGGAGCAAUAUUCCAAUCAUUGGUCACGAAGGGAAGCUUGGGGAUUAAUUUGAUACAGUGCCUAUGACCUAUGUUGGCUAGGGUUGAAGUAUGGACUUCCUUUUAGUCAAACAUUAAUGACACCGAAUAUAACCUCCUUCUUAAGUCUCUUUUAAGGCUAAGAGGAACUUGCGCUAGUGGAUACUCUCUUUCUAAGGGUUGGAGCCUCCAACAAGUUUAGGAUAAGAGAAUUCAUGCCUUUAAUAAAAGUUUCUUUAUGGAAUCAGGUCCCAAAAUCCUAAAAGUGAUAAGAAAGGGGUAGCACAAUAGAGAACAUCCUAUUAUUAGCUGAAGAGGCCCCAUGAGUGUCCUUAACUAGAACAUGUUCCUAAGAUUAUGAAGCUGUGUUCAUCAUUUCAUACAAAAGUGACUCUAAUACUAAAAAGUAGCAUGAAGCCUCAAAAUUGACCACCCUAAGCACCCUCCAACAUCGGUCUCAUUAUAGGUAUGUGACUUGAGAAACCUUUGGCUCUCAAUUAAAAGGAACAUAGUUAAUAGAUGAGUAGCAAUGUCAAAACAUAAAUAUAAUUAAAAGAAAAGGAAGGGUCAUCAUAACAUCUCCACCUUUUACAAAAGGUAUUGAGGGUACAUUCCAUGGCAUGUUGACACCUCUCAUUCUUUGCUAAGUAGUAAGAAACUUUGGUCCUCCUAUUUUUUUCCAAGAAUUUGAAAUUUUGGAAACCAAUUUUGAGACUUGUUGUUAGGAAAUAUAUACAAGUAUCAUUGCUAACACUUGGUAUAAAUUCAAUAACUCUCUCACCCUAAUCUUAUAAUUUAGGGUAGAUUCAUGAUUGUUAUGGCCAUUAAAAUGUCAAUGGUAUUAGGAUUGAAAUGUCGUAAUGUCACCUUGACAAAAGAAAAGAAAUUCAAACUAAUAAUGGAAGAAGGAAAUGAAGCUUGGCUUUUAAACACUCUAUUGGAACUAUACAUUCCCUUGGUCUAAAGGGGCGAAGCUCCUCUUUGUGAAGAAGGAAUUUUAAAAUGCUCAAUCGAAACUUUAAGCCAAUCAUUAUACAUUUCACAAAAGAAAAACAAAGAGAAAGAAAAUCAAGUAAAAGAGUUUUCUAUAAGGCAUGGGUAACGAUUGACCUUCUCACGACACUUUGAGAAAUGAUUGAACUGUCUUCUUUGAAAAAAUGUGUCACAUAACUUUUGGUUUUUCCUCUUAUUUAUUAAAAUCCCUGGAAAAUAGAGAGAAUGAUGUAAGGACGAGUUAAUUGCUUAAUAAGUGUCAUCAUCCAAACAAAACUAAUGGCAGUAUAAUAAUGUGGGACAUUCAAAGGCCACAUAUCCAUAGUUAGGCUUACCAUCAUCAUAGUUCAUUAAUUAUGAAUUAAUCUUCUUCAUUUUUUAAAUAAUGAGACACCUCCCAUAAUACUUCCCAAUUACUCUCCCUCAAUAUAAAGCAAAUGACACACCACACUAUUCUAAAUUAAAGAUUCCUUAUUAAUAGUGAAACAACCAAAAUUAUUUUUUAUAAUAUAAAUGAAAUGGACGACCCAUUAACAAUGUUAUAAUUUGUUGGCAACAAAUACCUAAAAAGUGACAUAAUUCAAUCCCUAGAAAAUUAUAAAAAUAGGUGAAGUUGUUCAUUCAAAGGUAAGUAAACACACACUUCUAUCUAUUGAUUCUCUUAUUAAGAAUCAUGCUUAACUUGAUCAUCAGGAAAAGGUUAGCUUAACUGGCACACUCCUUGUUCUAAUCAUCUUAUUGCAAGUAUGUACAUAAGAUCAAGUAAGGAUAAUUUCAACUCAACAAAAGACAAAACAUAAGUUAUGCAUUAAAAUCUAAGACAACUUAAAAAUGAAUUUAAAUGCAAAAGUACAAUGUCAAUUAAUAUAUGAUUGGUUCCUAUUAAGUCUUUUUAAUAGACAAAUGAAGUCCUAAAUCCUAAACUUGCCCCUAAAAAAUAUCUAAAAGGUCAAUCUAGCUUUCCACAAAUUAAGUGUCAUAAACUUAGGCAUCUUUCAUGCACUCAUGCAAAAUUCAAGUAUGCUCUAGUGUUGCUGAGUCAACAUUUCUUGUAUACCCAUACUUACAAUGUCUAGGUGAUGUGAAGGCUAAAUAUAAAGAAGAACACCUAAGAAGUUUAAAAGAAUGCAAGUGUAUUGCAUUUAGGAAACUUUAUAACGCUUGUUUCUUACAAGUUUCGGGGCCUUGAGAUGGGUCUCACUAAUUUGUUCACACCCAAAGAAUGCUCUAGAAUGCUUGAAGUCAAAGACUAUUCAAAACCUUCUUACACUACCCACACCAUGCGCAAUAGUACAUGGUUAUAAGUAUUCUAGAUAUCUUUGGUCUUUUUAUUACUUUAGAAUUUCCAUAAUGUUGUAGAGAUUUCAACAAAACUCCUAAAAAAUUUAUACAUCUCUCUAAAGGGCUCCAUACUUUUCUUUUGGGAACUUCUAGAAUAUUCUAACAUUUUAUGGUAAGCUUCAUAAGAGGUGUUGAGUAGUUUUAGUUGCAAUUUCAUUAAUAGAAUUUAAAUUCCUUUAGAACCUUUUGCCCAUCUAUACAUACUUAUGUGUCAAAGGACAUAACAAACUUUUCUACUAAAGCUGACAACAUCAUUGUCAAACCUCAUUAUCAAUUCUUGAAAUUGCAUAAAUCCCGUAUUGAUUCCUCUAUGGUCUUGCUCUAUGGAAAUCCAUUUUUCUAUCUAGAUCACACAUGUUUUAUUUUCAUUUAAGGUUGCCAUUUUGUGUUGGAAAUUUUUGGACAUUGCUUCAGUAUUUUCCAUGGGGUAUAACACUGCCUAGUACUCAUCCAUUGGUGCCACAAUCAAGUUAACAUUACCAUACUAAGCCCUAAUUUGUAGCUUUAACCCAUAAGCUACUCCAUGAGCUCCACCUUUGAGUUGACAACCUUAAGCUACCUUAGCUCUUUGCUUAUCUUGAGUUCCAACCUCUUUGCCUUACCUAUAACAACAAAGUUGUGGAUUAGUCACAUGUCUACAAUGAAAACAUAGUGUCACAAACUUAGUUUUUUCCUAAGCUCAUGCGACACUUUGACAUGUUAAGACCCUUCACCUUACUAAGUCAGCCUUACUCUUGAUACUUCACUUGCUAGGUUAAGAUGCACAUGAGUUGGGAACUAGUAGGCACACGUAAGCAACACUUGAAGAAUAAGAAGCUUUAUUGCUCUCAAAUGAUGCUUUACAAGUGCUUUGGAACUCACUUGCUUGGUUAGGAAGUGAUUUGGGUGGUUUUGGGUGGUGUCUUGGCCAAAUGAGGUCCUCACCUAUUUAUAAGCACCAAUGGAACUCUCUAGAACCUACAAAGGUUCCCUACUAUCCUAGAAUUAUCAAGAAGACUCUAUAAAAAAGCUAUGUACAAGUAUUUACAAGACAUGUUUGGAAGUUUCUAGAACAUCCCAUAGGUUUCCCUUGUCUUCCACCCUUGAUGUAAAGAAGUUUGGUUGUCUCAAGCAUUUUCUAGAACCUUCCACUCUUCCCACUAAUGGCUAAGUGUAGGUAGUUUUAGGAGUCUCCAGAAGCUUCCUACCCUCUAUAUAAGCCAAUGGGAAUGGUCAUUUGAGUAGGUAGAGACAAUAGGCUUUCUAUUAGUGUGGACCUCCACAAACUCUAAUCUCUUACUUUAAGUUUUAGCAAACACCAUUUUUACCUUGAGAGAGCUAAGUAAUUAGAGUGAUCAGACAUGCACCUAAUCUUUCUUUCUUUCAUUUGUAUCAAAUAUUACUUUCAAGGAUUUCAUAAUUUGGUAGUCCUUUACUUAUGUGGAUUAUUGCACAAGAAAAUUUAAGCUUAGAUGUGAAUUUUUUCUUUCACUCUUUGCUCUUACCUAUUUGAUCAUAGGUUUUUAGUAAUGCCCUUCUAAGUAGUCUCAUUUCCUGUAAUUUGCUAAUGAGUCAACAACUACUCUAGCAUAUAGCAAUAUCCUUGAUGUCUUGAACUUCAACCCUUAAAUCCCUGGUCAACCUAAUAUUUGUGAUCGUCCAUGUAUUGAAUGAGGAGUUCCUCUUUUGUGAUGUAUAGGACCUCUAACAUAAGCAAUGAACCUCCUCAUGCAUUUACAUGCCCAAUAAGUAGCAUUUGGAGGUAAUACUCUCUCUUGAUUCCCUCUUAUUUGUACAUGUUUAUAUUAGGCAUGUAAAUAAACUAAGUCAAGUUGGGCCUAAGUGCUCUUAGUGUGGGUUUUCAACCAAAGCUAAGGGCAAGCAUGCUUUCGAAUCAGGCUUAAUCUUAGCUAGGAAUUUUAACUCUUAUCAUGAGCCCAACCCUUAUACUAACUAUUUAACAAAAAAACCCAUGGUUGUUAAUAAAAAUCAAGAGAAAGUUUUAUAUAGUGCUUAGAUAUUAGACAACAUUUUUGCUUAUUUGAAAGGGUUCAAAUACCUUGUAAAUCAUAUAUCUAUUGGUGGUUCAUAGUCUCUAGGUCUUUGUCUUAUUCUAAGCCUCCAUAUUACAAGUGUUCUUGGUCCAGUUAUGCAUUUAGUCUCAUCCAUUGUCUCUAUGGUGCAAAAGUCAUUGUAUUUCCCUUUGUCAACAUACUUGUGUCCCAUCAUCCAUAGUCACUACAAUGUACAAGCCUUUAUCUAAAGUUUCUCUUUAAUACCACUAUAAAGUUGCAAAUAUAUAAGCUUGCACUACCUAAAGUUAUAGAGUAUACAAGGUUGCCACCAUAAGCGCAAGCCUUCAUACAUAGUCUCAUUUUGAGGCCACCAUAGUUACCAUAAAGUUGCAUAGGUAAAGCAACCUAAAUUUGAAGAGUCUAUAAGUCUAUUACAAUAAGCACAAGUCUUCAACUAAAGUCUCUUUUGGAUGCCACUAUGAUUAUUAUAAAGUUGCAAAGGUGGAGCAUUAUUGUCUACACAUUUUCUUACUCAUUUGAGAGCUUCACUACCUCAAAGUUCCUUUCUAUAUGUUAUAGGUAGUUGUCACUUCAAGGUUCUGCUCUACCGUUGCAAAGUUCCUCCCCAUGUGCCAUAAGUGUUGGCACUUCAAAGUUCCUCUCCUUGUACCAUGGGUAGUAAUCUAGCUUCUUAGCGUCAUGGCUUGGGCACCUUCACCAUAAAUUCCCUUGGUCGCUUCUGCUAGUUAUUUCUAAAACCUUCCAUGCUUCUAUAAAUACUUGUAAGGCAUAUGACAAAGGUCUUUAGAUGUAUUUAAAUUUUACAAGAUAACACUAAAUUAACCAAAAAAGAAAAAGAAAAAAAAUCUAUUUCUAGAUUUUUUUUUCCUUCUCAUUUUUGACAUAUAGCUUUAUUCCCAACUCUUUAAUAUGAGUAGACCUUCAAAAUAAUUCUAAGUUACUAAUACAUUCAUAAGAUUUUUCAUAGUGUCCUAACUAUCUGAAAAGCCCAUUGUCACCUUAAUAGAACACCAUCAUAAUUUAAAAGUACAGGCAAACACCAAUAAAAUAUGAUAAGAAAAAAUUAUAAUAAGAGAAAAGAAUCAAAAGUCAAUUGUUGAGAAAGUGGGUAAAAUUUAUACGUAUAUUAGAUCAAUUGCAAGGUAUUAUAUAACAAGGAGAUACAUAUUCUAUAAAAAAAAUUAUUCUUGAAAACCCAUUUAUAAUAUUUUUAAUUUGAUUGUUGUAAAAUAAAAAACUAGUCGUCAAACAUUAAUAUCACUUACGAACUUGAAAAAAUCAAUUAAAAGUAUUUUGUGCAUGCAAAAAAUACAUCAAGAAAUCUUACUAAAUCAUCAAUAAACUUGAGUCCUUUAACUUAAGCAUCAAGGUUCGAUAUGAAUUUAAUGAUCAUAUUGACUCUUUUUUUUCAAGUAGAAAACAAUAUUUACAACUCGUUUUUAGGGUUUUCGACUUACACAUUAGAGAACUGGUAUCGAUCAUACUGCAAUGAUCUUGUGAUGUGAUUUUCUUUUUGUUUUUUGAAAAAAGACCACAUAGGUUAAAUAUAAAGCAUUUGAGUUAUAAAAACACUUCAUGAUCUUGAAUAAAUCAAUUAAAAAUAUUUUCUACGUAGAACAAACCUUACCAAAUCUCAAUAAAAAGCCCUACUCAAGCUCAUCUUAGAAAGAAAUAAGGAAAAAAAAAUCCAUUGAAGAAUAUUUUCCAAACUAAGUUAUACUGCCAUUUACACUAUCUAUGAGAACCAAGAACAUUCCGUACCUCUCUCAUUAAAAGGCAAAAUUGAAUGAGUGAAUAUGGAAACCAAAAUAUAUGAUUUAAAUUACUAAAAACAAUCUUAAAUAUUGAAAAAAAAAAUGAACUUCAGACACCUAUGAUCGCAUGUCUCAUGACGAGGCAUUCAAGUGUACAGAGUGCGUCUCUCCACGUAGCUGCCAAGCCCAUACAAAGGAAUCAAUUCAGCAACUCUGAUGAGCGUCUCAAGAUCGAAGCGGUGGAGACUCUAGGGUUUUGCCUCUGCCCCGUCGUUUCCACUGCUGCUCUGAGUCCUUCUGAAGGUGGUUCUUGUGUUUUGCUUGGUUCAGUGUUUGAGGCUGUAAAAUGAUGUUUUUUCCUGAAUUUUUUGGGUUUGCCUCAAUUUGUUUUUUCGUUUAAUGGGUGAUUCUUGGGUUAGGGUUGGAUCUCUCUGAAUUUAGAACUUCUGGGUAUGGAUCAUGCUUGUGUUCAUUGAUAGGCAAAUGAGAAUUAGUGUGCAUGUCGGUCUUUAGCUUCUGAUCGAAUAUGGUGAUGAUUUAUCUAAUGGGUAUACUUGUUUUUGUUCAUUACUGUUUGAUCUUUUAUGGGAGAUGGUUAAUUCUCAGAAUUGUUUGUAAUGUGUGUGUUUGUCUAUGUAUGUGUUGGAAAAUUAAGGCAUUUGUGUUAGUGAUUACUUGCUGGAGUUUUUUUGUAUAGUCAUGUUGUCAAGUCUAGCAAUCUCUUCCUGUGGUUGUGGAUCAUGAAUCUUCUAAUUCAUAGGAAAAUGAAAAUGGGUGACACCAUUCUUUCUUUAGCUUCUCACGACUGGGAUGAUGCUUUAUAUGUGAGUUUUUAGUCCAAAACUUGUUUGGUUAUUUUUUGGAACAUGGUAAAUUUUCAGAAUUUAUUCUCAUGGAUUCCCUUUUUUGCAAAAUCAUUAGUGAGUCUUGCUGGAGACUCUGGUUGGGUGAUCAUUAUGGCAAAUGUAGCAUUUAUUUCUCUCCUUCUUUGGGCACAAAUGAUAGAAGCAACAUAAUCCCACAACACCCUCUAUCCACUCCUAGUUGAUGGGCUUUGGUAGAUGGUCCCUUUGCAGCAAUUUAUGAUGUUAUAGGAAAUUGGAAAUGCAUUCGUUUGGAUUGGAAUUUGGUUUAUAUAUGAUGUACAUGUUGGAAUUUUUUGUUUGUGAAGCCUCUUAUAUGUAGACAGAGAUGCCCUGAGAAAUUGACAUGAUGUUGUGUUAAGUUGGAAGGAUUUGAUCUGUGUGGGCAUUUGUAGAGUGUAAGAAAACUCCUUUUGGCGUUUUCGGGAAUAGAUUAUGCUGAGAGGAUUGCAAUGUGGAACUCUAUAAAUAGGCGAUGUCUAUGGGAUUUUUCUUGCAUAGAAAGUUGAGCUUUUGCAAUGAAUUUCCAUGAGCCUGAUAUAUUAUGGCUGGUCUUUCUUUGCAUGCUGUUUUCUUACAUUUAUUUAAUAUAUAUAACCAAAGUGCCAAAGGGACAAAACCUUGUAUGCGGUUAAUAAUUUUGUGUUCUUGUACUUUAAUUCCUAUUUAAUUUUUGCCAACACAGUACAAUAAUAUAUUCAGAAAUUUUUGGAAAUAAAUCAAUCUAAUAAUUUAGUUGAUAUAGUGUUUGUGAGGGUGCUUUUCCUUGUUGCAUCUUGGGUUUCAGUCUUUCUGAACUAUUCAAAAGUCCUUUCUGAUGUUUGAUAUGUUUGUUUGACACUGGCUGUUUGCAUCUCACUCUCAGGCUUUUUCCUUCAUUAGGGUAUUUUUCGUUUACAUACACAACAGCUCUGUUUUUAUUUUUUUUCUUGUAACAAACUUCUCAUUGUUUAUUAAGAAGCACAGACACGUGUUUGUGGUAUUCCAUGAUAAGCAAAAUCUAUUUCCAAGCAUCUUGGAUGGUUAAAUUGUCUGUACGUAAUCUCUAUGAUUGGCGCUAUCUAAAGUGUAGAGUUCGUUACUUUACACUUUUGUUUUUAAAUUGCAGUUGAGAUUGGACAAUGAAGGACCGCAACUGCCAUUUCUGUUUUCAAAAUCACAGCAGUAGUAUCACAUGGAAACCAUGAACUAGAGUCAAUUGUUAAUGUGAUUUAUAACAUUCAAAAGCAUGUAUCUAUCUUAUCUGCAGUUCAUAUUAAUCAUGAAGCGGAGGCGCACUAGAAUCACUGAUCUGAAUGACGAUGUCCUCACGCACAUCAUGUGCUUUGUUGCUGAUUCACCCGAUGGAUCUGUGGAUAUUGCAAAAACUAUCUGUGUGUAAGACUCUAAACCUUAACCUUCUGCUUAAGCUAUCUGUGUGUAAGACAACCUUAACCCUAUCCUUAUAUUAAUUACAUAUAUGAUGGCUUUUCCUCCUAAAAUUUCACAUUGUGAAAUUGCUGAAGAGGAUGUAAAACUUGGAUUUGACUCACUAUAUGACUUAGAUGUAACCUAGUAUAGGAUAAUAUAUAUUUGUUUGCACCAGGAGUGUUCCUGGAUUUCUCUAGUUCUUCUUUCGCAGAAUAGCAAAAGAAGUAUUUUGGUUUUGCACCUUUGUUCUAGAAGGCAAGUAAGUUUAUUGCCUCUAGGGCUGAAUAUAGGUAGUUUUUAAUUCUAGUAACCUUCAAAUUACAGAUGUAAAGCGUUUUGGAAGCUUUCUGAGGACCCAAUCGUCCUAAAAUCAUUAGCUUUUGAUGAAGAUAAGCUUGAUGAUUUUACUGGAUCAUUGUGGGAGCCGAACGGCUUGUUGAACCGAAGCGCACAGGCUGGAAACAUGAAAGCUCGGGAGAUCCUAAUUAAGGUAGUUUUUAUCUAGUUAUUCUUUUUUUCUGCAGAUACCUAUUGAAUUCUUGAUUUAUUUUCUCAGACAAAUGGGUAAUAAACCUGUGUUUGUUAUAAUGUCUCCUCACAGACAAAAAGUUUAUGAAAGUAUCGAGAAGAUAGUUAUACCCAGCUAUGAUAAUGGUUUCUCAUAAGUAUGUUGGUUGGGAACUUACGCAUGAACGUAAGACUUUGGCAUAAUAAUAUUUAUUAAGGAGUGGGUUGGAAUAUUUAAAAGUUCAGAAAUUUUAUUUAUGGAUUUUAUGAUGAAUCAAAUUAAAAUGUCCCAUUUUGUUAAGUUGAUUUCUCCAAUGCUUGCUACGUUUGAUAUAUACAUAUCUGGCUGGAAUGCGAAUGUGUAGACCUUUUAGCUUUACUGUCUUUUGUGAAACCAGUUAUAUGCUAUAUUUAUACGUAUCUUUUCCUAUUAUUGUCCAGCAUUCCCAAAAAAAAUAAAAAUAAAUAAAUAAAAUGCUACCAUUGUGAAUGCAGAAAAAUAGGAAAAUGAAUGUAUAUUGCUCAAUAAACUACCUCCUUUUCUUUGCCUACUAAACCGUUGUUUUAUAUCCUGAAACUUUUGGUGACUAUGUAUUAAAAUGUACAUGCAGGAUGUGAAUGAAAGGCUGAUGGCGACGACUGUGAGGGCAAGAGCUAUAAAAGUUGCUGAGAAAGUAAGAAUUUGAUUUUCAGGGUUUGCUCCAUUCAGUAGUAGUUCAACUUGUGAAGCUAAUUGAUUUGUACAUGCAGACUAUGUCACUGAUGAUGAGGGCCUUUGAUACUGUUGUGGCUACGAGGGCAAGAGUGAGGGCGUUUGAAUCAGCCAUCCAGGUAAAAGUGCUUUUAAAUCUUGUGCAACAUUGGUUUUUUAUUUGCUUGGGAUUUGGAUACUUCAAUAAAACCAUACUCGCAGUUUUGCUCAUUAAUGUUUGUAUGUGCAGGACAUUGUGGACAUGGUCGAUUCUGUAGAGGUUGAAUGCAAAGAAAUAAUGGAGCAAAUGGGGCGAAUGGGGUACGCUGCAGGUGGCCCCAUUAUUCCAGUUGCUCCUCAUGCUGCCUAUGCUGCUUAUGCUGCCUAUGCUGCUUAUGUUCCCGAUGCUCCAGGUGCUCAAGAUGAUCCAAAUGCCCCAGAUGCUCAAGAUGCUGCCGGAGCUCCCCAUGCUCCAGUUGCUGAGAACCUUCUCCCCAGGGAGAACUAAGUUGUAGCUCAGAGUCUAGAAGGACAUUUUAACUUCUGUUUCUAUGUUUAUGUUAGAACAACUUUUUCAAACACACGUUUGUGUGUGUUUUGUCUAGAUGAAUCCCCAGCUACUUUGCUUAAUGUAUAUACUGGGCUUUGGUGCCGACCCACGUGAAUUGCCAUGGCUAAUGCUUUGCAGUAGCUUUUUCCGAGCUAACAGCAAAGAAGAAAGUCUCCUGACUUCCAGUUGUUGUGAAAGGUUCAGUUUGGAAACUGGAGAGGAAGAUGGUGGGUUGAACUUUGUAGCUCAGAGACUAAUGAGUAAAUUUUAGCUUUUCUCUUUAUGCUUAUGUCCAAAUUGCUCUUGAAUCUCUGAUGUCUUGCUGAAACAGCAAAGAAACAAGUGCGAGGCUCACAGUUUCGACAAAAACUGGAGAGCAGAGCGGAUAUGGAGUUCCAACUUUGAAGCUAACUUGUGGAUACUACAAGCAAUUCAUUCUUUCUAAUCAGGUUGAAUUCCUGUUCCAGAUUAGUGUUUUUGCAAAGAAAAUCAAACAAAAUAGUGCACAGAAUGAAACAUGACUUUGUGGUAUUUCAGAUUUGUUCCCAACCAAAACAAAAAAAAACAAAAAAAAAAAAGAAAAAAAAAAAGAAAAAAAAAGAAAAGAAAAAGGUGACAGUAGAUUAAUCAAAUAUCCGGAAGUUGGCACUCAAUGGCAAAAUAGCAAACUCACAAGAUGAAAAUGAAAGAGAUUAGAAGGGGAAAAAAGGGAAGCUCAUGUCUCUUGGAAACACACAAACCAAAAGAGGUUAACAGUCGUGGCUAUUUGGAGAGUUUGAAGUACAAGAUCAAGGCAAUGACAACAACGAGGACUGCAAUUAUGGAGCCGAUAAUACACUUGUUCCUGCUCAUCCUCCUUGACAUGUUGGUCAAAAUUUUCUUACUUCUGCUAACGUUGUCAUCUACUCCAUGCAGCUGCAAUACAAGAAUGAAAACCCUCAAACAAAGAUAGUCUAAAAGGCAUUUUAUUCUGACUGUUGCUGCUGCAAGGUAAAGUUUAUGAACCAUUGAUGCAUAGCACAAUUGUACUGACCCUGCUCAUCGGUUUUGCUUUUUCAAAUGUUAAUUAAGAGGAGCUUCUGAAGAACAUUAAUGAAGAAAAGAAAGACGGAGGCCAAAACAAAAGGAAUUGAAAAGUAGAAAAGCUCUUGAUAGAAACUUCAAUGCUCUGUUUGAAUCAUGGAAAGAGCUAAGGAAAGCCAAAAAGAAAAAAAAAGGAGAAAGACACCAAGUUCUCUUGUUUGUUUUAACAUGGAAACUAGGGAAGAAAGUCAAAUGUAAUGAAAAUAUUAAAAAGCUUAUACAUUUCCAAAAUUUUUAAUUCUUUAUAAAAGAGGAAAUAAGAGAAAUAAAUUUGAGAAGCACGUGAAAAAAAAUUAGUGGGUGUUUUAGACUAAUAAUUUUUCUUCUUCACUUUUAAGAGCACUCCUCUCAAUGUUGUUCAGCUCGAUUGGUAUCCAACGUGUAGAUCAAAAGGGUUUGGAUGACCAAGAGAGGAACAUUGAUUAGGUUUUAUUAGAAGAUGUGUUAACCCUCAUGGAGUAAUGAAAUACUCUAUAUUAUAUUUCCUCAUGUGAUACUAUACUGAUGUAAAGGCCUCCUUAAUAUAGUGAAGGAGUUCAAUCAUACAUUUCUUAUUUAGAUUUUGUAAAUUUGGAGAGAAUCCUUUGACUUUUUCUUUCCUUCCAUCUUUACCCUCUAUUUUCUUUCCCUCAUACUUUCUCUCAAACUUUCCAAGAUCCAAAUGGAAGCAUAAAUUCAGACUUCAAAUUUGGAUCUAAGACAGUAGGGAAAGAGAAAACAUGAAGGAAUCUCAAAUUAUCUUAUUUGAUUUUUCAUGGAAAAUAUGAAAGAAAAUAAAACAUAAUGAAAAUUAUUUAAAAACUUGUAGAUUUUCAUAUUCAUCAUUCUCUAAAUAAAAUUGGAGAAGGGUUCAAAAAGAGGAAAAUUUUCUUAAGCUUAAAACUUAAUUUUUAUUUUCCUUCACUUGUUCUUUUCCUCCCCCUUUCCCCAUUAAUUUCUUUCCCUCAAACUUUUCAGUAUGCAAAUGAAGCCUAAAUGGGACCUUAAGAGGAGGAAUACCGUGUCAUUGGCAUGUAAGAGCGAUUGUCGUUGUUGAUGCAAAUCUUGAAGAAUUGAAACACCAAGCUCUUCUGUCUCCAGCAUGGUUCUUUUACUUUCCUUAAUUCUAUCACUGGACUGAUUUAAUCUGUCUGUUGACAUCAUCAAUCGUGCUCUUUGAUUAGCCGAUACCUAUUACAUGAACUCAGCAUCAACAGAUUGUUCCACAAAUUCAAGAUGGGGACUUCCAGAAGAAAUUCCUUAAUAUAUGAAAUAACCAUAAAAUGUUUGAAAAGUUCUAUAAGCAAAUGGAGUUCAUUAAAUCAGAAAAUAUAACUGCCAAAAUAAGAAGCAAAAAAGAGGCACUAAAAAGAUACAUAAAAAAUGGUAGUAAAAUGGGUAAUCAUGUACAGGCUUACAACUUGGAUGCCCAAUAGCCUUUUUGGCUCAUAUUUGUGUUUGACAUGAACAAUAAAGGAAAUUUUAUGAGUGCCCCUAAAGCUGCUCCAUCUAUCUUGUCAAUUUAUAGAGUCAGUGGAUAAAACUGCCACAAAUUGAUGGCAAAGCAAGCUAUUAAAUAUAAACUUAGAAACAAAAUGCCAAUGACAAUCUGGAAAACAGUUUUAAUGUUGACAGCGAUGGUAAUCUAUUGUAGCAACUGUAACAAUAUCAACCACAUAUUUUCUCAAAUAAACUAAUCACCAGGGCAUUUUAAAACAAGAAGCAUGACAACAAGGAAGCUAAAUGGAUUCAGACAUACCGACAUUGCAUCAGCCAUUCCUGAUUCUAAUAAGUCAUCUCGGGCAGCCUGAUUUGAGUUAGCUGAUGCAAUUCUUUUAACCUCACUUUUCAAAUUGUUCAGAUCAGAUUUGUAUUCCCUUAGCUUAGCAAGAAGUACAGCCUUUACAUUCGGCUGCAGACCUCUAGCCUCAAGGUCCAUUUUCCGUAUCUGGAGAAAUAUGGGCAAAGCUCACAUUCAACCCCAAAAAUAUGGGGAAAAAAAAAAAGAAGAGAAUAAUUUCUGCAACAAGCAAAUACAGUACCAGAGAGUCUGCUUCAUCCAAUCCGGCUUUUAUUUCAGAAAUUUGUUGCCUCUUCUGCUCUGCAAAUCGACAAGAAGUUGCACAAUCAUAAAACCACAGCCAUAACCAACAUGAAAAUAACAAAAAAAAAAAAAAGGAAAUAAAAGAAAUACUAAACAUGCCACUUUUUUCUGGUCAUGAACAUAAAAAUUAAAAUUAAAAUAAAACUCAACAUGCUACACAAUUUUUUUUUGAGAGCGAAAACAUGCUACGCAAUAUAAGAAUGCGUAUAAACCCCCAACAACCAAUUACAACAUGAUAAAAUGCUACUAUAAUCCAUCACAUCAAACAAUAAAAUAAUAUCUCUUCUAUGAAAACCAACAUUGUGUGGACUCUGUUAAAUGAGUUUAAGUGCCAAUCUCAUACAAAUAUUUGAGAUUGUAUUUUCUUAGUUUGACAAACAUAAAGUACAGUCCACCACAGGGGCAUAGAGAAUGUCUUAUUUUGUGGUAGAUAAAAGUAAAUCAUUGAGAGGUGGCAGGUGCAACCCAUUUUAGAUGGCAAGUGUAUUAGAAAGGACCCAACAGGAGCCAGAAACAGGGGAAACAAGACAAAAAAUUGCCCCUAAUUUAGCUUGUCUACAUAAUCCACCAGAACCCCUACUUGCAACAACAAUCACUUUUAACCUGUAUUAAAGUAAUGCCCAUGAAAACAUAAAAUGGGAGGUCAAAAGAAGCGAGACAAUAACUUGUAACUGUGACUACCAGAAGAGGGAAUGUUAAAACCAUGGAGUUUAUUUUGGUAGUUAAGAAGUCCUCUUCAUAAAUCAUUUUUUCCCUCUCUAUCCAAUAUGCACCAAUCUACACAGUGGGGGUAGCACUCCAAGUACACUUUAUUUCUUGCCCACAAAUCUUCUUGCAAUCCCACCAAAAGCUCUCAAACCAAUCCUAGGAUCACCAGUUAACUCCAAAUAUGACAAAGAUAAAGGACCCUAGCUACCAAUCCACAACACAAUGCAAAAGAAGUUACAGAUUACUCAACUAUCUUAUUCAUGCAAUGCCAGGUAGGCAAAACUUGGUCCCUUGAACAAGCCAAUGACCAAUCAAUUGUGACUUGUGAGAAUUCCUAUAUUUCAAUGUCCAAAAAACAAAAAAAACAGCCAUGUAGGACAGGGCAAAGCACCACACUUCCUUCCAAGGGAAGCCAAAGUAAGCCCCAGUCAAAGACCUUAUUAAGCUCAUUAAGUAUUUCAUUGUAAAUUUACACUCAAAUGAUUAGACGUAAUAUCAUUAAAUCCUAUAUAUUAAAUUGUUCUCAAUGUUUUGUAAUUACACUGCUGCACCUCAAAUUCCUAAUUUCUUGAAAUUGCCAAAUCCAAACUAGCUAUAAAUUUUAUUCUCAACGUUUUCUAAUUACUAAUUACACUGCUGCACCUCAAAUUCCUAAUUUCUUGAAACUGCCAAAUCCAAACUAGCCAUCCAUGUUGGAUUUUGACACUGGGCCAAAGGAAGAAAAGAGAAGAGGAAAUUCUUUUGCAUAUCAAGAAGGACAAUGAUGAUGGAGCAGAUAAUUUAGUUUCAAAUGUAUAUUAAAAAAGGCAUUAGAUUUUGGUUAUAAAAUGAGUUCAAAUAUUCAUUGACAAUCCUUUCAAUGAGUCCAAAUAAAAAACUGCAGUCCUCUUUUAUUUUUUAUUCCUCCUUUUGAUGAUCGGAUAAAGUAUUAUGUUGCGUUGUAUAGCAAUUCAAUUGUAUUUACAAAACCUACAUUACAAAACUAGCAACAAAAUACAGAAGCUAAGGAAUGCCACAGAUAUCACAAGAUUUAGAAAAAAGAAACCAUCGUGUAGAACUUUGAAAGCAAGAAAAAGUACAGUGGCCAUUGAGAUACAAUAUGUAAAGAAAAAAAUACAGGCAUAAUGCAACGAGUAACACCCUCCAGUGAUUCUGGACUAGGGUAAAUUACAACCCUUAAGUCUCCAUGAAAAUCCAAGACCGAAAUUCCAAAAAAGUCAGUAAACCAAUGUAUGGCUGCAUGCAAUUGCGCCUUGCAGUCCCACUGUUCGGUUACUUUAUAAAACAAUUGAAUCGAAAAUGGAACUUAAGUUCCACAAAAUCAGAAUAUCACCAAUCCUAGCAUAAUAUCAACAAAAUGAUAAUUCAUCUGCAUUCUGCAUGUAUUGACAAAAUGAAAGAAAAAUCAGAUGAGAUUUUCCUAUUACCUCCAUCCAGAAGACUAGCUGUCGUACACUUCUUGGACAAAUUGGCUGAAAGCUCACAGUACUGGCGCUCGUAUCCAUCAAAUACCUCACCCAUCGUCUUCAAUUGUCCACAAAACACUGUGCAAUCAAUAAUCCACACAUUCAAUCCCACUCACUCCUGAAACUAAUCAAACUUUUUAAUCAAAAUCACAAAAAGCGCCCUCUAUUUCUACAAAUAAUAACACAAAUUUUCAGUUCGCUUAAAAAAUAUCUCCUCGCAACUAGAAUUUGACAUUUUUUUUGGGAAAAGAUAAACCCUAAUUUGAUCGGAAUCAUGAGAUCAUAAGAGGGAGGUCCUCCAUUCCUAGUAACAGUCACAUGAUUAUGAAUAGUUGAAGAGACCGAUUGGAUGAAUCACUAUUGAAUAACUGGAGCAGACCUGAGAUGAUGAGAAAAAAAGAAAAAGAAAAAAUCAAGCUCAAAUUUCGCCGGAAUUCAGAGAAGUUGCCGGAAAAGUAGCCUGAGUCCGGUGGCGAUGGAUCUGGAGUUGAUCAGGAGAAAGUGGUGGUGCUUUUCAAACGACAAGCUCGUGGGCUUCGACCCACCUUGUUAAUAAUGCGAAGCUGAAUGAUAACCCUACACGCUGGGGUACAGUAAAAAAGUAACCUUCCUCCUAUGAUUGACAGCUGUCUGGAUGGGUGAAUGAGGCAUAGGCGCAUUUUUGCUAAAUUGCCAGCACAAAAUUAUGGGACACAUGGAUUUAAAUUUUACAUUUCAUAUGUAAAAGCAAUUAGUUUUCAACUCAAAAUCCAUUAUUUUAUCCAUAUUUAUCUUAUUUAUUUUAAUUUUUUAUUCUUUUUCCAUGCCUUCCGUUUAAAAAAUAAAAUAAAAUUAUUACCUUCCAUUAAUAUCAUUUAAAUUGAAAAUAAAAAUUUUAUUAUCAAAUAAAAACAAAAAAUAUCUAAUAUAAUUCGUCAUGUAAACAAUGUUAAUGAGGUUACAAAUCAA
rnacentral:lncRNA from 1 species